rnacentral:rRNA from 1 species
AGUAGGGAAUCUUCCGCAAUGGACGAAAGUCUGACGGAGCAACGCCGCGUGAGUGAUGAAGGUUUUCGGAUCGUAAAGCUCUGUUGUUAGGGAAGAACAAGUGCAAGAGUAACUGCUUGCACCAUGACGGUACCUAACCAGAAAGCCACGGCUAACUACGUGCCAGCAGCCGCGGUAAUACGUAGGUGGCAAGCGUUGUCCGGAAUUAUUGGGCGUAAAGGGCUCGCAGGCGGUUUCUUAAGUCUGAUGUGAAAGCCCCCGGCUCAACCGGGGAGGGUCAUUGGAAACUGGGAAACUUGAGUGCAGAAGAGGAGAGUGGAAUUCCACGUGUAGCGGUGAAAUGCGUAGAGAUGUGGAGGAACACCAGUGGCGAAGGCGACUCUCUGGUCUGUAACUGACGCUGAGGAGCGAAAGCGUGGGGAGCGAACAGGAUUAGAUACCCUGGUAGUCCACGCCGUAAACGAUGAGUGCUAAGUGUUAGGGGGUUUCCGCCCCUUAGUGCUGCAGCUAACGCAUUAAGCACUCCGCCUGGGGAGUACGGUCGCAAGACUGAAACU